CACGUAGGGUGCGAGCGUUGUCCGGAAUUAUUGGGCGUAAAGAGCUCGUAGGCGGUGUGUCGCGUCGGCCGUGAAAACCUGCAGCUUAACUGUGGGCUUGCGGUCGAUACGGGCAUCACUGGAGUUCGGCAGGGGAGACUGGAAUUCCUGGUGUAGCGGUGAAAUGCGCAGAUAUCAGGAGGAACGCCGGUGGCGAAGGCGGGUCUCUGGGCCGAUACUGACGCUGAGGAGCGAAAGCGUGGGGAGCAAACAGG
rnacentral:rRNA from 1 species